CCCAAAAAUUAACCAUUCGAAACUCGUCCAACAGGCAGACCGUUCUCAAAAAACUUGUAAAAAAUUAAAAAAUUAACCAUUCAGAACCCAUAAAUUAACCAUUCGAAACUCUGUGCACCUGAUAUGUAUGGAGGGCCAUUUGGGUCAAAAAUAAGGGAAUAUAAAACUCAUGUCAACACACGGUUAGAAGACACGCUCAGGCAGCGCGCUCAGGCAACACACGCUCAGAAAACGCGCUCAGGCAACGUGCUAAGGCAACACACGCUCAGUAAACGUGCUGAGGCAACACACGACGCGUUCAUACGGUGGCCGAUAGGGGUCACCCGCCUCCACUUGCCAACUAAUACCGCGAGCGGUAAAUCAUUUACCGCCCGCGGCUAAUACUAUUACCGCGAGCGGUAAAGGGUCACCGCCUCAUUUUGCCGCGAGCGGUAAACGAGGAAAUGCCGCCAGCGGGUAAAGGGUCGCCGCCUCAUUUAGCCGCCAGCGGUAAAACCUUUACCCGCCUGAAACGGUAAACCCCUUACCGCCCUAAAAUGACGACAUUGCAAGAGGUCAAAAGGUCAAUGUUUAUAAUUAAAGCGCACCUGUACCACAGUUAAGUCUACUAGUCUAUAGAGAAUCGUACUGGAGACACAAAGAGGAGCAGAGGAGGAGCAGGAGAGACAAAGAAAGGAAGGAAGAAAGGAAGGAAGGCAAGAGAUCUAAUACGGAGGACUGAGACACAAGGACCAGAGGAGAGAAAGGCAAGAGAUUGAAUAAGGACACAAGGAGCAGAGGAGCAAGGAGCAGAGGAGAGAAAGGCAAGAGAUUGAAUAAGGAGGACUAAGACACAAGGAGCAGGAGCAGAGAAGAAGGAAGGCUAGGGAUCCAAUAGGACAAUGGCCGAAGGAAGUGCUGAACCUGAUGAGGAAGUUGGUAUAUUGAUGGAAUUGUCUGAUAUGUUGUCUGAACAAGCAAACAAGUUGGCAAUAAAGCGUUCCAGAUAUAGUCAAGUAUCAGUAUCUAGAUCUACAGGUAGCAAGAGUCCAACUGAAGAAGGUUUGUUGUCUAAAAUUGUGAAUCUAUAAUACACAUACCUAUUGAUUAAUAUGCCCCCCCCUGGGGAGCACAUGGGGGAAAUCAGAGGAGGAUUGUCAGGGUCAAAGGUCUUAAUCAUAAAGCUGCUUCCUGAGGACUUUUCCACUCUAGGUGGGCAGGUAUUCUGUUGUAGCCGCCCUCGACCUUUGUUCCCUAAGUAACUGAGAGUACUACAAGAGAGACAGUUUUAUUGUCAAAUGCGUGGGGGGUGAGUAGGGGAAAGUACAAAGCUGAUACGUGAGAGAUAUUGGCAAGAGCAGGUAAAAUGCAGAAGGUUCUAAAGCGUGGUCGGUCUGGUAGCUCAAAGGAUGAUGCAGGUGGUGAUGAUUAUGUGAGCACUUACUACUAGUGUUGUGCAUUAUAUUCAUAGAUAACUGUGUGUGAAAUGAUGGAACAACCAUCUCGACAUAAUAAGGAGCAACCAGUGGAGCUACAAAUCAAAAGGAGUAGUUCUUACGAACAGUUUGCAGAUAAAGCUGCAAAUGCUCUUAUUCUCCGACCAUUACCCUGUAGUUCAAUCCGCUUGUUUGGUGCUUUAAUCCGUGCAAGGGAAAAAUCGACGUUGGACAGUUGGCAGUUAUUUGUCUUUGCUAAAAAAAAGUUCUGGCUCUGUAAAGAUUGGAGUUUCCUACAUUAUUGACUCUAAAACUAAAAUCAACUCAACAUCAACCUUUAGUAGUACUCUUCCUCCGAGUGGCAAAGAGGGCCACAGCACACGUUGGAGGAGUGUUGUUUCUCAGAAUGAAGGGAUGCUCCGUAAGAUGCGUGGUGGAGCCAGUGCUAAGGACACAGAAAACCCUGUUUUGAUUGACUCUGGGCAUGGUUCUCGUUCAGUGAAGUCAGCAGAACCGAUAAAAGCUACAUGUAGUGGUAUUGGAUUUCUUCAAUUUGAUGAAGAGACACUUCAGAAAGCAACUGACCGUUUCAGCUCACUGAAUAAGUUGGGGGAGGGAGGAGUGUUUAAAAGAUACCUAAAUGGUUGCUAUAA